AUUGAACGCUGGCGGCAUGCUUUACACAUGCAAGUCGAACGGUAACAGGGUGCUUGCACCGCUGACGAGUGGCGAACGGGUGAGUAAUGCGUCGGAACGUGCCGAGUAGUGGGGGAUAACGCAGCGAAAGUUGUGCUAAUACCGCAUACGUACUGAGGUAGAAAGUGGGGGACCUUCGGGCCUCACGCUAUUCGAGCGGCCGACGUCUGAUUAGCUAGUAGGUGGGGUAAAGGCUCACCUAGGCGACGAUCAGUAGCGGGUCUGAGAGGAUGAUCCGCCACACUGGGACUGAGACACGGCCCAGACUCCUACGGGAGGCAGCAGUGGGGAAUUUUGGACAAUGGGCGAAAGCCUGAUCCAGCCAUGCCGCGUGUCUGAAGGAGGCCUUCGGGUUGUAAAGGACUUUUGUCAGGGAGGAAAUCCCUAGUGCUAAUAACACUGGGGGAUGACAGUACCUGAAGAAUAAGCACCGGCUAACUACGUGCCAGCAGCCGCCGCGG
rnacentral:rRNA from 1 species